rnacentral:rRNA from 1 species
GAUGAACGCUAGCGGCAGGCUUAAUACAUGCAAGUCGAGGGACAGCACAGGUAGCAAUACUGGGUGGUAACCGGCAAACGGGUGCGGAACACGUACACAACCUUCCUUUAAGUGGGGGAUAGCCCAGAGAAAUUUGGAUUAAUACCCCGUAAUAUAGUUGAAUGGCAUCAUUUGAUUAUUAUAGCUACGGUGCUUAAUGAUGGGUGUGCGGCUGAUUAGAUAGUUGGCGGGGUAACGGCCACCAAGUCUACGAUCAGUAGCUGAUGUGAGAGCAUGAUAAGCCACACGGGCACUGAGACACGGGCCCGACUCCUACGGGAGGCAGCAGUAAGGAAUAUUGGUCAAUGGACGCAAGUCUGAACCAGCCAUGCCGCGUGAAGGAUUAAGGUCCUCUGGAUUGUAAACUUCUUUUAUUUGGGACGAAAAAGGGCCUUUCUAGGUCAACUGACGGUACCAGAUGAAUAAGCACCGGCUAACUCCGUGCCAGCCGCCGCCGUAAAAC